rnacentral:lncRNA from 1 species
CUCAAGGGGCUUACACUCUGGGAAGAUAGGUAACAUUGAAUAAAUGGCAAGAAACCAAUAUGUGAUUACAGAUCAUUGAUAAGUGCUGCAAAGGAAAACAAGAGGACUCUAUGAAGGAGAAUUACCAGGUAGAGGCUGCCUACUUUAGAUAGUGGUCAGGGAUGGUUUCUCUGAGAAGAGACAUUUAAGCUAGAACCUGAAGGAUGACAUAAAGCAGAGUCUCUACCUCUAUGUCCAUCAUUCAAUAAAUAUUUAGUCAAUCCUAAUGUGUGCCAGGCAGCAUUCUUGCUGGGAACACAGCAUUAAACAAAACAGAACAAAACAGACUAAGUUCCUCUUCUCAUGAAGCAGGGGCACAGAUCAUGGAAACCACUAUCAGAACUUGGGAUUUCAUUUAUGUCCAAUGUGAGUCAGGCAUCUCUCCUGGUGGCUGUCUUCCAUGUGGUGACUUAUGUAUCCAGGAUCCUUCUACUGUGUUUCUCCUCCAUUGCGAAGUCCUUCACUUCCAGCACCUGAGACAUUUUUUGGGUAUAUCUACAAGUGGCAUAUAUCACUUCUGCCCACAUUCACCUGGGUAGAACUCAAUCACAUUGUUUCACCUAACUGCAAGUGAGGCUGUGGAAUAUAGUCUCCCUAUGUGCCCAAGCAGAAGAAACAGGAUUGUGUGACUCUACAAUGUGUGAUUGCUCCUGGUGAAUCAAAAGGAUAAAGCUGCUGAUUCUGCAAUUUGAUAACCCAACCAUGCUGACCUCAAAGUGUAGUCAAUCCAUGAAGUUCCUCCCACCACAGCUCAUCCUGAACACUGCCCACCUGAGUCAUCAAGAAAGGUUUAAGUACAUUAUCUGUGCUCUGUUUAAUAUGUCCGUGAAGUGUGUCCUAAAUUUAGUUAUUUCUAGGACCUCUUUCUAGUUUGCAAGUAAGCCAGGUUCUACUGCUGUCAAGUGUUACUCAUGGCUAACUGAGGAAAAGGGGUUCAAAAACAUUGAGAAGACGAAAAGGAGGGAGAAGGCUGGGUUAAUGGGGACGGAGGUAAGGGGUGAGACCCCGGCUAAACAGUGAAGAUAAAAACAGACAUGUAAAUGAGAGAACCGGAAGAGAAGGUAAUGGUGAAAGUCAAUACGGGAAGGAAAGGGGUUGUAGGGGACAAACACUGAGAGGGCAAGAACUUGGAGUAGGUGAAACUAAGGUGAGCGAGGAGGCUGAAGAGAGGUCAGCUGCAGCGGGAAAGAGGGAAGGGCCCUUUAAGAGACACAUCAAGCCGCAGGUGUGGGCCACGAGGCUGGCGCAGGGCUGUCGCUUCACGCGCCGCAGACUCAUCCAGAAGCGCCUUGGGAGCUGCGGAGCCCUAGAGCCUCCAUCCGGGCAGCAAAGCAGCUCACGUGUCCCACCCGGGAAGGGCAGGAGUGGGCGAGGAAUGGUGGAGGGAAAGGAGGGAAAGCGGAGAAACAGGAGGGAGGGGGAAAGCUGCCGCUGCAGAAAAGAAACGAGUAAGCCCCUUUGUGCUUGGCCUGCGAGGUGUUUCCUUCCCGAGCAGACUUGAAGCUGUCACCUCUCAGUCUGGGUUUGGAAUAAAUACACUCGCCCACCGAGAGAUGAGGCGGCGCCUGGCCGCACCUGGGAGGUACCUGGUCGCACCUGGAAGUGCCUGGUCUCCCCUGGCAGGUACCUGGCC